rnacentral:lncRNA from 1 species
GGCUGUAGCAGGCUAAGCAGGACUCCGGAUGUCACCGCGUGACAUUUCCCCGAAGGGACAGACACAGGAACAAAGUGAAACACAUGCCGGCCAGUCAAGUGUCCUGAGCAGUAGUGCUGGGCUAACAGGACUCCGGUGAACCGGGCUGUAGCGGACUACUAUGGCACAUGGAAACACAAGACUACGUUUCCCCAUAAGAGAGGCUAUCAGAGGUAAACAACUAGGUUGUCGGAUCCCACACAUAGCAAUACACGUCACACGUACGCAUAACAUGCAUGUAUGUGCUGUACAUCAUGGCAUCACAACAUAACUCAAACUCAUAUAGAUAAAGGCCCAGAAGAGCCACAUAGCAUAAAUACAAACAGGGGUCACAUGACCCAUCAUUCAGAGCAUACAAGCAACAAGCGGAAGCAUUACAUGUCUGAGUACAGACAACUACAAAAGAAAAAGACUAAGAAGCCUGACUAAACACGACCCUCCCAAGGGUACAAGAUCGUAGCUGGGAUACAAGCUACUCGUCGAAGCCACUAGUGUAACCAACUGCAAAACAUAAAUAAGCAAACGUGAGUACAAAGGUACAUAGCAAGUCUUACUUCAGAACUAUCUACAUAUGCAUCAUUAUCAACAAAGGGGGUGGUGGAGUUUAACAGCAGCAAGCCAGCUUUGACUCAAUGGCUAAUCUAUACUACGAGUAUCGGAAACUUCUUUAGGUGAGAAGACGCACACGAGUCCACAAAUUCACCAUAUCAAUACUCCACUAUGGAUCCGUUCCCGUCUCCCUACGAGAAGGCCAUCCAUAGCACUCACGCUUAUCUUGCGUAUUUUAGAGUAUCCACUUCAAGUUGUCUAUGUACUACAUAAGUCCUCCAAGUUUCCAUAUCCGAGGAAAACAGCUAUUCGAAUAGGUAAUAUUGACCCUGCAGGGGUGUACUUCUUCACACACGCUCUCGCCACUUAUAGCCCUGUACACGUCAUGUACCUCGGCAACCUUCAAGCGGAAGCCGGGCGGGGGUGUCGGCCACGACCUGACUAACCACACAAGUCUCUCGUCUAGGUUUAUCGCCUAUUCGGGUUCCAUCCGCAAGGAGAUCCGGCCGGGGUGUCGCUCAUGGCCCCAAACGAUGUGUGCAGGGUUCCCAAGCCCACCAUCCGGGUGCCACUUGGUACACCGUGACACAAUGCCUGUCCCGUCGGACACCACCUGGUAGACAAGUAGCACUACCUACAAACGCCAGAAACUAGUUGCAACUCCUGGACAGAGAUCAAGUGGAUUAAUAAGUCGAGAGGGGCCGGAUAACCGGAACCCAAUGUGUGGUAGUAACUGGACUUGGAUAACAUACAUAGAACUCAGUGCUUAAGGACGGUUCCAAUGAGACAACCCACCAUGUACUCCUACAUGGCCUCUCAUCGCUACCUUUACCAAAACGUGUUCACACACUUAGCCUUUACCGGUAGGACAUGUUCACCACUCCGAUUCAUUCCUGAUGAAUCAGACCUGACACAACUCUAAGCAUAGCUGGCAUAAAGAAAACAAGCAUGGAUGAGCAGGCACAUCAAGGCUCAAGCAACUCCUACUCAUGCUAGUGGGUUUCAACUAUUUACUGUGGCAAUGAUAGGUCAUGCAAAGGAAUGGGUUCAGCUACCGCAGCAGAAAGUAGCAGUUUGAAUCGUUGUUGUCCUAAUGCAGUAAAAGGAGCAGGAGCGAGAGAGUGGGACUUUAUCGAGAUGUUCAAGGGGGUUUGCUUGCCUGAUAGAUCCACGAAGAAGCACUGAUCCUCAGACAGGUACUCGGGACACCUUCCGGAGUAAAACCUAUCGAGAGGGAACGGUGCCGACAAUCAAUAAACAACCAUAUGCAACAAUAUGAUGCAUGAAGAUGACAUUCAAAGGUGCUAUGAUUUUCCCUAAUGCAUCUAGCAUCAAUUUGAUUGAAGUCCAUAUGAACCAAAGGUUCAUAUGCAAACACCAAUUUAAGUAUAUAACAUGCCAUUAUUACGUUUUCACUUAUACAGCUGGUAUAAGUUGGUUUUUCAUGCAUGAAACUGGCAUAAAUGGAUUCCUUGCAUUUUUUUGAUAAUUUUUCAUAUAUAAUUUAUUUGAUUUGGAGUUACGGUUGAAUUACUAUGAUUUUUUGAAGUUUUAACUAUUUUCUGGAAUUUCCUGAUUUAAAUUAAUUCCAGAAAUCAAUUAUUGCGUCAGCUCUACGUCAUGCUUACGUCAGCAGGUCAAAGGCGGCUGACCAGGUCAAACCUGACGUGUGGGGCCCACACGUCAGUGUCUGUGGUUAAUCCUAAUCUAAAAAUAAACCUAAUCUGGUUUAGUUAAUGGGGUUGGGCCCACGCGUCAGUGACCCAAUUAGCUAAACAGGGUUAAUUAGUUGUUAAACUAAUCUUAACUAAAAACUUAACAGGGCCGGGCCCACAUGUCAUUGAGAGAGAGGGGAGAGGUCAACGGCUGUGGUCAAACCGGUCAACCCGCCGGCGUUUAGCCGCCGGCGAGGCCGAACGCGGCGGAGGGCCUCGGAUUUGGUCCUCCGGUGACCAUUUGGCCGGCGGAGGCCACCUACGCGACGCCCAGGCUCGCGCGCAUCCAGUGGGACACGCGGGAGGCCGUGGGGUGGCCGGAGACGACCAUGGCGAGGUCAUCCGCGGCGGCCGGAGCACGGCUACGGGAGGGGACAGGCUGCGGGGCACGGGAAGGCCGCCCGAGGGGCUCUGUGGCACCCUCGUGGCACCAGGAGCACGAUGGGGUGCUCAGUUUGGGCGGAGGCGUGCCAAGACGACGGCGGCGACAUGGACGGCGGCGAAGCGCUACGGCCAUGGCGAGGAACGAUGCUACGGUGCGUGAGCGACUAAUUGGAGAAGGGGAAAUGGUGGCGGGGCUCACCGCGGAUCCGGUGGAGGCGUCAGAGAGCUCGGGGGAGGUCCAACGGCAACGAAUUUCAGCGGCGGACGGCGGAGCCCAAGGAGGAAGACGAUGGCGAUGGCGGCGAUGCAGGCCGUCCGGAGGUGCGUGGCUCGACGAGGAGGAAGAGGGGAUCGCGGAGGAGCUGUGGAGCGCGUCGGGGAGGCGAGGCUGUGGCUGUGGGCGCGGCAGAAGUGGCCGGUGGCGGCGGUGGUGCUCGGCCGUGAGAGAGGGAGCGAGGGAGAGGAGAGGAGAGGAAUGGGGAGAGUGAGAGGGGUGAGGGGCGGCGCGUGGCGUCGUCCGGGCGUUCCAAGGCGACGAGGAGGGCGCUAGGCAGGCAGCUGCGUGCCGGCGCGCACGGCGUCGGGCGCAGCUUCCCCUCUGCCAACUGGCAAGAGGAGCAAGAUGCCCAUGCUCCUGGUGGCUGGGCUAGAACAGGGAUGGGCCGGCCAGAGGCGCCAGGCAAGAAGCCUAGGUAGGUCUCUCUCCCUUUCUGUUUUCUUUUCUAAUUUUCUGACAUUUGUUUUGUAUUAAAAGAAAUGUUAAAACAUUUCCAUAAAUGCUGAAAAUAAUUGUGGCAUCUAGAUAUAAUAUUCUAGAGGCCCUCACCAAUUCCCAACAUUUUUGGAGCUAUUAAAAAUAUUUAUAUAAUUUAAACAGCUCCAAUUCAAAUAUUUAUGCAUUGAUUCAAAAAUCCAAAAUGAGUAGGAAAAAUGUGCAUCACCUCUGGUUGUUGUUCCCAACAUUUUCCAAAGACCAUGAACAUUUUUGAAAAGCAUUUUGGGUUCAUUGAAAUUCCACUUUUAAUUUGAACCUAUUUGAAUUGCUUUGGUGCUAGGGUUUGCAACUUCCCCAUUUCAAUUUCAUUUGAAAAAUAAACAUGAUGCAGAAAGCAAGCCUAGGACCAUACCAGAACUAGGGAUGUGACAACUCGCCCCCACUCGAAGAAAUCUCGUCCCAAGAUUCAAGAGUUGGCGGAAAGAAAGCGGGGUACUCAAGUCGAAGACGAUCUUCUCGCUCCCAAGUAGCUUCUCUCUCGGUAUGAUGAGACCAUUGAACCUUGAGAAACUUGAUGUUAUGACGUCGAGUGACACGCUCUGCUUGAUCCAGAAUGUGAAUGGGGUACUCUCGAUAAGUGAGGUUAUCUUGGAGAUCAAGCGUUUCGUGGUCCACUCCGCGGAUGGGAUCCGAGAAGCAACGCCUGAGUUGAGAGACGUGGAAAACAUCAUGAACUCGAGAAAGAUGUGGGGGUAGUUCCAACUGGUAGGCAACCUCUCCUCGUUUAGCGAGAAUGCGAAAAGGACCGAUGUAACGAGGAGCCAACUUGCCCUUGAUACCGAAACGAUGGGUACCCUUCAAAGGAGUAACCCGAAGGUAAGCCUUGUCACCAACUUCAUAAGCCACUUCCUUAUGACGACGGUCAUACUGGCUCUUUUGACAAGAUUGGGCUGUUUUCAAAUUCUCACGAAUGAUGCAAACUUGCUCUUCUGCCUCCUGGAUCAUAUCCGGUCCAAAGAAUUGUCUUUCGCCGGUUUCUGACCAGUUCAAAGGUGUUCGACAUCUUCGUCCAUACAGGAUCUCGAAGGGUGCUUUCUUAAGACUGGAUUGGUAGCUAUUGUUAUAAGCAAACUCGGCAAAGGGAAAACAUUUCUCCCAAUCCAUACCGAAUGAGAUAACGCAAGCUCUAUGCAUGUCUUCGAGAAUUUGGUUGACCCUUUCCACCUGACCACUUGAUUGAGGGUGGAAAGCGGUACUGAAAGAAAGAUGGGUACCCAUGGCAGUUUGGAAACUUUCCCAGAAAUGAGAGGUGAAAAGACUGCCACGGUCUGAAUUGAUCUCUAGUGGAACACCAUGGAGUGACACUACUCGGGAGAUAUAUAAGUCAGCGAGCUGACUAGCAGUGAUACUCUCUCAAACAGGUAGGAAGUGAGCCACUUUGGAAAGACGAUCAAUGACUACGAAGAUAGCAUUAUUUCCUUUCUUGGUCCUGGGAAAGCCGGUGAUGAAGUCCAUACCAACUUUGUCCCAUUCCCAAUCGGGAAUAGCUAAAGGUUGAAGGGUGCUAGCAGGUCUUUGAUGCUCUGCCUUAACGCGACGACAAACGUCACAGUUGGCAAUAUACUGAGCGAUUUCUCUCUUCAUCCUAGUCCACCAGAACCUCUGGCGUAGGUCCUGAUACAUCUUUGUACUACCGGGAUGAAUCAUGAGAGGGGAUUCAUGGGCCUCCUUAAGGAUCAGUUGCUGCAUCUGUUGACAUUUGGGAACCACCAAACGGUUACCAAAGUAAACAACACCUCGUUCAUCCAUAGAGAAACAACCAGCAACUCCCUUGGAAAUAUUCUUCUUGAUUCGGGAGAUUCCCGUAUCAUGCUUCUGAGCCUCUAUGACCUGAUCCGCAAGGGUAGGUUUCGCCACCAAGGUAGAAAGGAAACCAUGAGGAGCUAUGUGAAGGUUAAGUUUACAUAAUUCCUCAUGGAGGGGUGGGUGACAAUGUUGCAACAUGAGGUUGUUGCAAUAGGAUUUACGACUUAAAACAUCAGCCAUGACAUUGGCUUUGCCUGGGGUGUAGGUGAUUCCUAAGUCGUAAUCCGAGAUCAACUCCAACCAACGUCUCUGUCUGAGAUUCAGAUCCGGUUGGGUGAAGAUAUACUUGAGACUCUGAUGGUCGGUGUAGAUUUCGCAACGGUUACCAAGAAGGUAUUGUCGCCAAGUCUUAAGUGCAUAGACUACGGCUGCAAGCUCCAGAUCAUGUGUAGGAUAAUUUUCCUCAUGUGGAUGCAACUGUCGAGAUGCAUAGGCAAUCACAUGACGAUCCUGCAUAAGAAUGCAACCUAGUCCUUGACGCGAAGCAUCGCAAUAGAUAACAAAGUCUUUAGUGAAAUCCGGUGGCACGAGUAUGGGCACAGAAGUCAGGCGUCUUUUCAGUUCCUGAAAACUGUGCUCACACUGUGGGGUCCACUCAAACCUUUUAUCUUUCUUGAGAAGCUCCGUGAGGGGUUUGGCCACUUUGGAGAAGUUUUCAACGAAGCGGCGACAAUAACUGGCUAGACCAAGGAAACUCCUAACUUGUUUGACUGCUUCGGGUGGAGUCCAAUCGAGAACGGCUUUGACUCUCUCGGGAUUUACAGCAAUGCCCUUACCGGAGAUCAUGUGGCCCAGAUAGGUCACUUCUGGCAACCAAAAUUCACACUUGGAGAACUUGGCAUUAAGGCGAUGCUCUCUGAGUUUUUCUAACAGAAGCCUAAGAUGUUCGGCAUGCUCUUCCUCGUUCUUUGAGUAAAUAAGAAUAUCAUCGAGAUAAACCACAACGAACUUAUCUAAGUACUCCAUAAAGAUCGAGUUCAUCAAGCGGGAGAAAGUAGCUGGAGCAUUGGUUAGGCCGAAGGACAUCACGGUGUACUCGUAUUGACCAUAACGAGUGACAAAGGCCGUUUUGGGGAUGUCCCCAUUUCUGAUCUUGAUUUGGUGGUAGCCUAACCUCAAAUCCAUCUUGGAAAAGACUGAGGAUCCAGCGAGCUGAUCAUAUAGGUCGUUGAUCCUGGGGAGCGGAUACUUGUUCUUUAUCGUGACCAAAUUAACGGGACGAUAAUCUACAACCAUUCGAUCUGAACCAUCCUUCUUCUUGACGAAGAGGACAGGACAAGCCCAAGGAGAAGAACUGGGACGGAUGAAACCCUUUUGCAAGGACUCAUCAAGUUGUUUCUUAAGCUCGGCUAACUCCAAAGGUGCCGUCUUGUAUGGUCUUCUAGAGAUUGGAACAGUUCCUAGGAUAAGUUCUAUGACAAACUCUACAUCUCUGUCAGGUGGGACACCUGGCAGUUCUUCUGGGAAGACAUCUGGGAAGUCACGAACUACCGGAAUAUCUUCAAGGUCUGGAAGAGGGCUGGCAUUAAGAGAAUAGAGUUGACGCCUUGCAACUCUAGUGGAGACAGUGACUAUUUUGCCAGAUGGAUGUGUAAGUUGAAUAGAUCUGGUGUAACAAUCGAUCUUGGCAUGAUGAACUGUCAUCCAGUCCAUACCCAAGAUGAUGUUAAUAUCUGAGGACUUGAGAGAUAUCAAAGAAGCAAGGAAAACCAGUCUAUCAACAAGGAUUUCAUUACCAUGGCUUACCUUGGAGGUUUGCCAUUUGGAACCAGGAGUCUGGAUUAUUAGUGGAGUUGGCAUAUCACAAAAUGACAUGUCAUGCAUCCGAGCGUAACCUUUAGAUAUGAAGGAGUGGGAUGCUCCAGUAUCAAACAGAACUGAAGCUGGGUGACAAUUGACAAGAAGUGUACCCAGUACGACAUCGGGAUCAUCUUGAAAUUCAGAAGCUGAGACAUGGUGCACACAUGCUCGUUCAAUGGAGGCUGGCUUGGUACUGACCAUCUUGACUGAUGGCUUUUCACGCCCAACAGACCUCUCAGACUGGGGUGGAGCAUAACUGGACUGAGGGCAGUCACGUGCAUAGUGUCCUGGUUCUCCGCAGGUAAAGCAAGUUCCUGAGGUAGGAUGUGGACCUACGUUGGCAAGUGGUCCACUAAUAAGCCUGAGUGGAGCGUGUUGCUGAGUUGGGUGAGGCACCACAUAGGAUGGCCUCGGUGCAUAUCGAGGUGGAAGAGCCGAGUUCGGAAUCCAAAUCCGUCGCUUCUAAGAGCCAGAGCAGGAGGAAGAACCCAGAUCAUGGCUGUGCUUACGAGACUCCUCGUAAGUGAGUUGAGCCAUCUCUGCAUUAAUGGCCUUGUUCACAAGAGCCUGGAAAGUAUCACAAUGAUGCCGGUGGAGAUCACGACGCAACUUAGGGUGGAGACCCUUCCGGAACCUAGCCUGCUUCUUAGCGUCCGUGGACACUUCUUCUGUAGCAUAGCGGGCGAGGUUUCAAACUCCCUACUGUAAGCAUCAACAGGCAGCUUACCCUGGGUAAAAUUACAGAACUCUUCCCUCUUGCGGUCAAAGAGAGCCUGAGGAAUGUGGUGCUCACGAAAAGCCUCGGUGAAAUAUUUCCACGUAGGAAUCUGACCAGCUGGAAGCAUAGCCUCAUAGCUCUGCCACCAAAUACUAGCUGGUCCUUCCAGGUGAUAUGUAGCAUAGGUGACCUUGUCACUUUCAGCACGUUCGCAGAAUGCAACUUGUGAAUGAUGCUUCGGAGCCAGUCAUCCGCAUCGAGUGGCUCAAUGGAAUGAUGGAAGGUGGGUGGUUUCAGACCAAUGAAGUCGGUGAUGGAAACCAACUUCUUACGCUGAUGUGCGGUGUUCUACUCAAUCUAUGCCAGCAAGUGGUUAGUCUCACGCUUGUUCCUCUCGGAGGCUAACAAGAACUCUGCCACCAAAGGCUGGUCAGGAGGAUCCUCGUCCCUACCAUCUCCAUGGUUCUUGCUAUGAGCAACUGAAGCUCGGUUAGGAGACGACAUCCUGACACAGAAACCAAGGAAACAAGGAUGGAAUUAGCAUCGACCUAGGGAUGCGAAAUGUAAUGCAAAAGCAUUGGAAAGUCUUGAAAUCCUGGGACAAUUUCGGCAGCAUAACGGCUGUAAAUGCUCAAAAGGAUUUUUGAGACAUUCAUCAAAGGAAUAGCAUAAUCAAUCAGCAUCAUAAUAUCAAGGUUCUAGGUCAAACUGAGGACACACAGAAGUAGUAAAACUAUAUUGAGACACAACCCAACAAUCCUAAGACUUUACGGUUUAGUAACACGUCAUCCUAAGAGAUAGAGGAGAAGCCUAGGCCUUAACCCUCAUAGAAAAAAAGAGGCUGACUCAGAAAGAAUGACAUGAGGUAAAGGAGUAAAAAGAGCCUUACGUUCCCUUCCACAAUCAAUUCCCUUAUGUAACUAAAGCAUUUCUAGACUCAACUUCGACCAGUUUGGCUUGGUAAUCCUACAGUCAGUCAGGCUCUGAUACCAACGCUGUCGGGACCCCGAUCCCACGUCACACCGAUCUAGCAUGUAACCCUUCAUAUCACUUUGCGGCCUCACGCACGGUAUCCCCACGGGUGCCACCUUACCUGGCCCGGGACCGUUUGCGCAUUUUGGCUCACGUAUAUGAUAGUGUCGCUAGCAUCCAUAUGACAGAGAACCCGGGCCGACAUGACUAGUCGUGAACCCAAAGUGGCACUAACCUAUGGGAACAGGCAUACCUGAUUCACAUCGAGCGUGUCGGUCAGCAUCGUGUGAAUCCGGGCUGUAGCACUGGGCUAACAGGACUCCGGGAACCCGGGCUGUAGCAGGCUAAGCAGGACUCCGGAUGUCACCGCGUGACAUUUCCCCGAAGGGACAGACACAGGAACAAAGUGAAACACAUGCCGGCCAGUCAAGUGUCCUGAGCAGUAGUGCUGGGCUAACAGGACUCCGGUGAACCGGGCUGUAGCGGACUACUAUGGCACAUGGAAACACAAGACUACGUUUCCCCAUAAGAGAGGCUAUCCGAGGUAAACAACUAGGUUGUCGGAUCCCACACAUAGCAAUACACGUUACACGUACGCAUAACAUGCAUGUAUGUGCUGUACAUCAUGGCAUCACAACAUAACUCAAACUCAUAUAGAUAAAGGCCCAGAAGAGCCACAUAGCAUAAAUACAAACAGGGGUCACAUGACCCAUCAUUCAGAGCAUACAAGCAACAAGUGGAAGCAUUACAUGUCUGAGUACAGACAACUACAAAAGAAAAAGACUAAGAAGCCUGACUAAACACGACCCUCCCAAGGGUACAAGAUCGUAGCUGGGAUACAAGCUACUCGUCGAAGCCACUAGUGUAACCAACUGCAAAACAUAAAUAAGCAAACGUGGGUACAAAGGUACUCAGCAAGUCUUACUUCAGAACUAUCUACAUAUGCAUCAUUAUCAACAAAGGGGGUGGUGGAGUUUAACAGCAGCAAGCCAGCUCUGACUCAAUGGCUAAUCUAUACUACGAGUAUCAGAAACUUCUUUAGGUGAGAAGACGCACACGAGUCCACAAAUUCACCAUAUCAAUACUCCACUAUGGAUCCGUUCCGUCUCCCUACGAGAAGGCCAUCCAUAGCACUCACGCUUAUCUUGCGUAUUUUAGAGUAUCCACUUCAAGUUGUCUAUGUACUACAUAAGUCCUCCAAGUUUCCAUAUCCGAGGAAAACG